rnacentral:pre_miRNA from 1 species
GAUCUACUCCCUCCGUCCGGAAAUACUUGUCAUCAAAAUGGAUAAAAGGGGAUGUAUCUAGACAUAUUUUAGUUUUAGAUACAUCUCUUUUUAUCCAUUUUGAUGACAAGUAUUUUUGGACGGAGGGAGUACAAC